ensembl:lncRNA
UACAGGAUACAACAGCAAUGCAUUGUGAAUUUAGAAUGAACUAGUCAUGGUGGUAAGAUCGCUGACAAGUCUUUUAAAACCAGAAAUCAAGACACAUUGACCCAAUGGGCCCAAUCCUAAACGCCCCCUAGACCCUAUGCCAUAUGCACUUGUGGAGAUCGGAGAGGUUUUGUCAGGUGUAAGCAAUAUGGUAAUAGCUCUACCACUCAAUGAUAGGCUAGGUGGAAGUAAACCCAUAUUGCUUACAACCAAUUAGAUGAUCUUACAUCAUUACAUUACAUUAAGGUCUAGAUGUCAAUUUGGGAUUGGGCCCUUCUCCAAUGGUCCAAUGAUAGGAAGUCAGCUGUAUAUAGUUCUACAUUCAGCCGUUUUGUCUUUGGUAACCUCAGUCAUCUUGUCCCUAGAUCUGCCAACAUGGAGGGGUUGUCAAGGUGACGGUAUUACCACCAGACCAGAGGUCACUAGUCACGAAGACAGUCAAAUUCCACGUGACAGUUUAGACACGGUAAUUAGGCUUCUCUGAUGCUACUGAUGGUCAUUAGUAGCCUACCAAAUUAACUGCCUGGUACUCAGCACUGUAUCGUCCCUUUAAAUCACUCUGACAUCAAUGUAUUAAAACAUCUCAUCAAAACACUUCAUGAGAGCCCAUGAGCUCAUGUUGCUCAACAUUUCUAUAGGCUAUGUAACUGCGUGAGAAAACAGAGUGAUGGCUUCUAUUAAAAAGAGGAGUAACUGCGUGAGAAAACAGAGUGAUGGCCUCUAUUAAAAAGAGGAGGAUCUCAUCAGCUUUCUAUAGGCUAGGCCUAUUAUAUUUAUAAACUUUCCUAAUAUUAAGCACAUUGCUUCUCUUUACAACAGGAGUAUAGCCUACCUGGCUGGCAUGAAAAUGAACCACGGGGAAAAGCAUCCUCCAUUUUGCUAUUUAAGUGCAUAGUUGACAUUCUUUCCCCCCCAUACCCCCAUUUCGAUACAGGUGCAUGAUAAUGGUCCAUUCUAAAUCAAAACUAAUUUGACACACAUAUAAUUUAGUAUAUGUAAAGACAAGAUUAAAUUAAGAAUAGUGUGAUGGGUGACAAUAUUAGCCUAUCACUUGUGGAUUAUGUAUUAUCACAUGCGAAUGACGCCCAGCUUGUGCAGUAAGGCGAGGAAUAACUCAUGCGUUUUUUUGCGACUUCUUCAAAUCGUAGGUCGCACACCGUAUGUAGCCCAGCCCAUAGGCCUAUAUGUUUUGAUAAGGUUUUUUAUCACAACUAAAGUGGCCAAAUAACUCCUUAAAACGAAGCACAGGGAGCGCAGGUAGUCUAGUGGUUAGAGUGUAGGGGCGGCAGGUAGCCUAGUGGUUAGAGCGUAGGGGCGGCAGGUAGCCUAGUGGUUAGAGCGUAGGGGCGGCAGGUAGCCUGGUGGUUAGAGCGUAGGGGCGGCAGGUAGCCUAGUGGUUAGAGUGUAGGGGCGGCAGGUAGCCUAGUGGUUAGAGUGUAGGGGCGGCAGGUAGCCUAGUGGUUAAAGCGUUGGGCCAGUAACCCGAAAGGUUGCAAAAUCAAAUCCCCUGAGCUGACAAGGUAAAAAUCUAUCAUUCUGUCCCUGAACAGGGCAGUUAACCCACUGUUCCAAGGUCGUCGUUCAAAAUAAGAAUUUGUUCUUAACUGACUUGCCUAGUUAAAUAAAGGAUAAUGAUAAUAAAUAUUAAACCGCUUUAUAACCGGUGCCUAACUGGCAGACAUAAGCUGUGUGAGUUUCACGUUUGGGGAAGAUCAUUUUC